rnacentral:rRNA from 1 species
GUGCUAAGUGGGAAAGGAUGUGGAGUCGCAUAGACAGCCAGGAGGUUGGCUCAGAAGCAGCCACCCUUGAAAGAGUGCGUAACAGCUCACUGGUCUAGUGGUUCCGCGCCGACAAUGUAGCGGGGCUCAAGCACACCACCGAAGACGCGGCAGUAUUUUGUACUGGGUAGGAGAGCGUCCCAUGAGGGGCGAAGCGGCCGUGUGAACGCGCCGUGGACUUCAUGGGAGUGAGAAUGCAGACAUGAGUAGCGAGAGACGGGUGAAGAUCCCGUCCGCUGGAUGACCAAGGGUUCCAGGGCCACGUUCAUCGUCCCUGGGUGAGUCGGGUCCUAAGGCGAGGCCGACAGGCGUAGUCGAAUGGAUGAACGGGUCGAUAUUCCCGUACCGGCUUUCAGCCGCCAAAACCGAGGCUUGGAGUACUAACCUCCGGGUCCGGGCUUACUGCUCCUUCGGGGGCGGGAUGCCCUGGCCUGUUGGGACCGAUCCUUGUAGUAGGUCAGCGCAGGAGUGACGCAGAAGGGUAGCCGGCCGCGGAGGUGGUCUUCCGUGGUCAAGCACGCAGGGCGUGGGACAGGCAAAUCCGUCCCGCAUGGGUCCGAGGUGCGAUGAUGGGGGCCUUAUGGCCCGAUAUCCGGUGAUCCCGGCUGCCGAGAAAAGCUUCGGCGUCAGGCUCAAAGCCGCCCGUACCCCAAACCGACACUGGUGGUCAGGUAGAGAAUACCAAAGCGAUCGAGCGAAUCCUGGUCAAGGAACUCGGCAAAUCACUCCCGUUCCUUCGGUUUAAGGGAGACCCCCGAUGGUGAACACGCUUGCUGUGGGAGCUUUUGGGGGUGGCACAGACCAGGGGGUAGCGACUGUUUACCAAAAACACAGGUGCAUGCGAAGGCGCAAGCCGCUGUAUAUGCACUGACGCCUGCCCGGUGCCGGAAGGUUAAGAGGAUCCGUCAGCCUUCGGGUGAAGCGGUGAAUUCAAGCCCCGGUAAACGGCGGUGGUAACUAUAACCAUCCUAAGGUAGCGAAAUUCCUUGUCGGGUAAGUUCCGACCUGCACGAACGACCAGGAGCUCGGCGAAAUUGCAGUACGAGUAAAGAUGCUCGUUAAGCGCAGAAGGACGAAAAGACCCCGGGACCUUUACUAUACCUUGGUAUUGGCAUUCGGUGUGGAUUGUGUAGCAUAGGCGGGAGGCCGAGAGGCGCGGUCGCCAGAUCGCGCGGAGCCGUAAGGUGAAAUACCGCUCUGUUCGCAUUGGAUGUCUAACCUCGAACAGUCAUCCUGUUCAGGGACAGUGCCUGGCGGGUAGUUUAACUGGGGCGGUUGCCUCCCAAAGAGUAACGGAGGCGCCCAAAGGUCCGCUCAGCCCGGUUGGCAAUCGGGUGGCGAGUGCAAGUGCACAAGCGGGCUUGACUGCGAGGACGACGGUCCGAGCAGGGACGAAAGUCGGGACUAGUGAUCCGGUGCCGGUGUACGGACGCGGCAUCGCUCAACGGAUAAAAGGUACCCCGGGGAUAACAGGCUGAUCAUUCCCAAGAGUCCAUAUCGACGGGAUGGUUUGGCACCUCGAUGUCGGC